CAAGGUAAGAUUUAAAUAUCAAUUGCUCACAAUUAAGUUUAAUUUCUGAAUGAAUAUGAUAGAUGUUUCUUGUUGUAUAUACUAAUUGAAUGAAGCGGUGAAUGUAGCCUUUAGCUUUAAAGGACUGCAAUCCCUUUUCAUGUACGUUCAGGUUCUUUUCAAUAUCCUAUUGUACUGCCAUUUUAUGCAUCUGAAUUUCUUAUUUGAGUGUAAAAUUUUGGUCAUAAGUGUUAACUUAAAUUUUGAUUCCUAAUGUGGAUGAAGGAUUAGUACAAGAAACCAAGUAUUGAAAAUAAAAGCAAAGUGUCCCUAGCUAGCUGGAAUAGGGGGCAACCAUGUUGUUCUUAAAUUUUCAUGUGUUUGCUUCUUAAUCAUUGGGCUAGUUUGGAAAUGUUCUUCAGUCUUAACAUGUAAGACAGGCAAAAGUUGUACAAACUAGUGAAGAGACGAGUAAUUUGUAGAGAGGAGCUAUAAUGAAAAAGCAAUCAAAGAAACCCUAACAUGGAAUGGAUUUGAUAGGAGAAGUCAUCUACAUAUUAAGACAUAUAAUAUUAGCUGGAUCUGCAGACUUAAGUGAAAUUUUCCAAAAACUUCCAAUAACCCUGAAACUUUUAUAUGACAUCAUCAUAGUUUGUAUGGUCUUAGGGGUCUUCACAGGCAUAAAUGCUGACUUUCAGAAAUUUACUAGAAUGAAAGAGUCAUAGCUUGCCAUGGUAGAAAUGUCUUUUACAUCAUAGAGUGGGAGACUAAUUAGCAUUUACUCUAGCUUGUGUGCAUGGCUUGUUCCAAAACACGUAGCACACAUAAGGCCGGUUUUUUGGUUCAGGACUCAUUGAUGUAGAACCAAUAGGAUAAUGGGUGACAAAGGGGUGAGAAACAAAUUCUCAAAUUGAAGAGACACAUUUUUUCAAUUUAUUAGCACAAAGCAAUAGUCAAUAAUCAUAAUAAAAUCUAAAUAUGUGGAGAUCCUUGGCCCUAUUUAUAGAGUUUUGCAACCUUAAUCGCAUUAGGAUUACGAACCCUAAUUCCAAUUGUAAUUAGGAAUCACAAAUUACAAAUCAAAUAAAACUCUGAUCUCUAUUUUUCUUUUUCUAAAAUAGGUAGUCCUAAAAUCCCUAGCAUUUCCUACAUCACAAGUUCAGAGAGCAUUUUCAGUAAAACCAAUCUGAAAACUAAUAAAAUUUGCAGAAGGAUUACUAACUUUACUUUAUGUAAGGAAAGCAAUUAACUAUUUAAUUUUUAAAGAAAAUUAAAUGUAUUUGUCAAUUACUUCUUUCAUUAUGCAUGAUUUGGAAUGCAUCAAAGGAUCAUUUUCAAAAUAGUAUCUGUGGAAGAAGUGGCAUUUGACCUAAAGGCUUUAACCACACAAAUAUUUACCACCUUAAAGUAUUAAAAGAAUGGCAUUGGUAUCACUCACAUUUCCGAUGAGCUGUCACUGGAU
rnacentral:misc_RNA from 1 species